rnacentral:rRNA from 1 species
UACGAAGGGGGCUAGCGUUGCUCGGAAUUACUGGGCGUAAAGCGCACGUAGGCGGCUUCUUAAGUCGGUGGUGAAAUCCUGGAGCUCAACUCCAGAACUGCCUUCGAUACUGGGGAGCUCGAGUCCGGGAGAGGUGAGUGGAACUGCGAGUGUAGAGGUGAAGUUCGUAGAUAUUCGCAAGAACACCAGUGGCGAAGGCGGCUCACUGGCCCGGUACUGACGCUGAGGUGCGAAAGCGUGGGGAGCAAACAGG